GCACCCCAGUUCAGGGGUGGCUACCCCUAUUUAGCUAUCAAUA
rnacentral:rRNA from 1 species